rnacentral:rRNA from 1 species
UACGUAGGGUGCGAGCGUUAAUCGGAAUUACUGGGCGUAAAGCGUGCGCAGGCGGUUCGUUAAGUCAGAUGUGAAAGCCCCGGGCUCAACCUGGGAACUGCAUUUGAAACUGGCGGGCUUGAGUAUGGCAGAGGGGGGUGGAAUUCCGCGUGUAGCAGUGAAAUGCGUAGAGAUGCGGAGGAACACCGAUGGCGAAGGCAGCCCCCUGGGCCAAUACUGACGCUCAGGCACGAAAGCGUGGGGAGCGAACCGG